GUGUGCUCUUCAGAUUUCAACAACGUGGAUGAGCCUUGAGGACACUAUGCUAAGUCCCAUAAGCUAGUCAUAGAAGGAUGAAUACUGCAGGAUUCUACUUACUAUAUCUAAAACGCAAAUUCAUAGGGGCAAAAAAAUAGAAUGAUGUCUGCCAGGGACUUGGGGGACAGGAGAAAAUGGGGAGUUGCUAAUCAAUGAAAUUAUGAAAUUUUAGUUUUGCAAGAUGAAUAAGUUCUAGAGAUCUGAUGGACAACAUCGUGCCUCUGGAUAACAAAACCGCAUCGUACACUUAAACAUCUGUGUUAAGAAGAUAGAUCUCAUGGUAAAUAAUCUCACCAAAAAAAAAAACUGUCUCCUAAAAAGAGUAUAUUAACAGUGUAUGUACCUGACAACAGAGCUUCAAAGUACAUGAGACAAAACAGAACCGAAAAGAGAAAUGGGUGAUUAUAGUUGGUUGGGGACUUCAGCAUGGCUCUUGCAGUAAUUGAUAGAAUAAGUAAGUGGAAAACCAGUAAGAAUGUAGAAAAACUGAACAAUACCAUUAACCAACUAGAUCCAAAUGACAUUUAUAAAGCAUUCCUCCUCAAAAUAGCAGAAUAGACGUUGCUUUGAAAUCCUCAGAGAUCAUUCACAAAGAUAGAUGAUAUCCUGAAACAUAAAACAUAUCUAAAAGCAGUUAAAAGAGUUGAAAUAGUUCAAAGUGUGUUAUUUUACCGUAAUGGAAUUUAGCUAGAAAUCAACAACAGACAGGUAACUGAUAAAUCCCCAAAUGCUAGGAAAUUAAAGAACUGCUUCUAAGUAAUCCAUGGAUCAAAGAGGAAGUCUCAGGAAAAGUAGAAAGUAUUUUGAGGUGAGCAAAAAUGAAAAUACAACAUACCACAAUUCAUAUGAAGCAGACAAAGCGGGGCUUAGAGGGAGAUAUAUAGAUUAAGUGCUUAGGUUAGAAAAGAAGAAAAGAUCUGUAAUGAACAAUCUAAGCUUUCACCUGAAGGAGCUAGAAAGAGGAGAGCCAAAUAAAUCCAAAGCAAGCAGAAGGAAAGAAAAACAAUAAAGUGUAGAUGUCAAGGAAUUUCAAAACAAAAUUAAUAGAGCCAAUGAAGUCAGAAACUGGUGUUUCAAAAAAAA